AGCGGAGUGGAGCAGUUGGUAGCUCAUUAGGUUCAUGCCCUAAAGGUCGUGGGUUCAAGUCCCGCCUCCGCAACCA
rnacentral:tRNA from 1 species